rnacentral:lncRNA from 1 species
UGUGACUCUGUGUCCCUUUAUUUAUAAACAAGUUUGGAAUACUGUGGUCCAUUUGGGAUCAGGGGAAGAGGGUUUCGGAGUUUCCAUGGUGGGGGUGGGGUGAUUCCAGUAGUUUGCACUAUUCAGCACCAGAGCAAAUGCUUGGGCAUAAGGUCAUUCUUGAAUCCAGACGAGCCCUCGUCUUAUAUGUACAGCAGAAUUUUAAGUAGAUAGGCUGUUCUUAUGGCUUUGUCCCCAGACACACUGCAGUGACACAACAGAAAACUAGAGAAAAGGAGAAGUUUUUAAAAGUGCCUAAUGGGCUUGCUUAUCAUUUAUUUCCUUCCUUCCUUCCUUCCUUCCUUCCUUCCUUCCUUCCUUCCUUCCAUCCAUCCAUCAGGUGGUUAGGACAGGACUGGAGCUGCUGCUUGAAAACCAGUCUCAUCUGUGCAGUAGGACUGGGCAUUAAAAUAAGUCCUGAAGACUGAAGGGAAAUAAGCCGUGUUCUUCCUGUAGCCACAAUCCACCAGUGUAACAUUGUUGCCUAGGUCAUAGAAUGGCAAGUCUUCCGCACCCACCGCAUGUUCGAAGCCACACUGUGUCCGUCACAGGGCUGGUUUACCUUUGCCUCUGGGUUAUCCUGGCAAUGAAGUUUCUUGGCAGACAUGGGCCAUACAGUGUUACUACCACAUUACAACUACACCCCUUUUAUUUAUGUGAAGAGUCUGCACUUGGUUUCCCGGGAUGGGGGAGUAUGAGAAUUGCUAAUACCAGCCCUCCCGUACUCACCAACUCUAGUGUCAUUUUUUUUUCCAGCUUCCCAUUACCAACCUUAGGGAAUGGGUUCUCUAUCUUUCUUCUUUCCCUUCCUGGAGGGAAAAGAACCCUUUCCCUUGCUUUUGUUCCUUUUCUUCUUACUUCUUCAAGCUUGUAGCACACUUUAUGCUGUCAUUUGAUCCCUAACUCGCCCUUGACUGUGAGAAUUGCCUGAAGAACUCACACAAAGAAUAGUCAUGGCUCCUCCCAGGUAUGGGGGUGGGGGUAAAACCCGGGUCAGGGCUGGGAAGAACUUCGUCAAGAAAGGCCAAAGCAGAGUCUGCCCCAUUUCCUUGUGGAAAACUCAUGACUUUGGGAAGGUAAGGAGGUGCCCUUGGAAACUGAGAAGAUUUAAAACCACUUAAGUGUUGUUUGUACCUGGGAUGGUUCUGAUGUUGGUCAUUUUCCAUCGUUCACAGCUGCGAAGGUGGCACUCUCUGAUGAGUCAUAUAUGUGGCACCUGUCAGGAAGGUGUAUAGGGCCUGCAAAAUUAUAUUCACCUGAUACAUUAGCUCUACACUUUCUGCCUCAGAGCAAGACUUAGGUAAAAGUGGACCUAUCUGAUUUGCCCUGGACCAUGGAGUCAGAACUUUCUAAAAAGACUUCAACAGAGAGUCUCCACACACACAACCUGAAGUGGCUUAAGACAGUAGAUGUUUUUAGCUUGCUUUCUUCUCUCUAUGACCCUCUCCUCCUCUUCUUCAUUUGCUCAGUUGCUCUCCUUGUCCCUGCACUGCCACAAGUGUCAACUGGCUUAAAUGGAAGGCAUACAUACACAAUUUGUCUUGGGUGUAUGGUGGGAGGCUGAGAUCAAACCAAUAGAGUAGAAGAAUGGUAGCCCUUGCCUCUGGAGAGUGAUGCUCCGGGAGGAUCUUGACUACGAAAAAAAAAAAA